rnacentral:rRNA from 1 species
UACAGAGGUCUCAAGCGUUGUUCGGAUUCAUUGGGCGUAAAGGGUGUGUAGGUGGCGCCGUAAGUCGGGUGUGAAAUUUCGGAGCUUAACUCCGAAACUGCAUUCGAUACUGCGGUGCUUGAGGACUGGAGAGGAGACUGGAAUUCAUGGUGUAGCAGUGAAAUGCGUAGAGAUCAUGAGGAAGACCAGUGGCGAAGGCGGGUCUCUGGACAGUUCCUGACACUGAGACACGAAGGCCAGGGGAGAAAACGUG